rnacentral:tRNA from 1 species
GUUCCUAUAGUUAAACUUUGAUAACGGUGGCUUUUCAGGCCAUAGGUCUUGGAGAGAGUCCGAGUAGGAAUU